AACGAACGCUGGCGGCGCGCCUAAUACAUGCAAGUCGAACGAGAAGCUGUAGCAAUACAGUUGUACAGUGGCGAACGGGUGAGGAAUACAUGGGUGACCUACCCUCGAGUGGGGAAUAACCAGCCGAAAGGUUGGCUAAUACCGCGUACGCUUCCCAGUCUACGGGUUGGGAAGGAAAGCGAUGCCGUGGGUAUCGCGCUCAAGGUUGGGCUCAUGUCCUAUCAGCUUGNGGUGGGGUAACGGCUCACCAAGGCAACGACGGGUAGCUGGUCUGAGAGGACGAUCAGCCACACUGGCACUGCGACACGGGCCAGACUCCUACGGGAGGCAGCAGUAAGGAAUAUUGCGCAAUGGGCGAAAGCCUGACGCAGCGACGCCGCGUGGGGGAUGAAGGUCUUCGGAUUGUAAACCCCUUUCGGGUAGGGAAGAUGGAACGAGCAAUCGUUCGGACGGUACCUCCAGAAGCAGCCACGGCUAACUUCGUGCCAGCCGCCGCCGUAA
rnacentral:rRNA from 1 species